AGAUUGAACGCUGGCGGCAGGCCUAACACAUGCAAGUCGAGCGGCAGCACGGGUACUUGUACCUGGUGGCGAGCGGCGGACGGGUGAGUAAUGCCUAGGAAUCUGCCUGAUAGUGGGGGAUAACGUUCGGAAACGGACGCUAAUACCGCAUACGUCCUACGGGAGAAAGUGGGGGAUCUUCGGACCUCACGCUAUCAGAUGAGCCUAGGUCGGAUUAGCUAGUUGGUAGGGUAAAGGCCUACCAAGGCUACGAUCCGUAACUGGUCUGAGAGGAUGAUCAGUCACACUGGAACUGAGACACGGUCCAGACUCCUACGGGAGGCAGCAGUGGGAAUAGUUGGACAAUGGGCGAAAGCCUGAUCCAGCCAUGCCGCGUGUGUGAAGAAGGUCUCGGAUGUAAAGCUACUUAAGUGGAGAAGGCAUUAACUAAUACGUUAGUGUUUUGACGUUACGACAGAAUAGACACCGGCUAACUCUGUGCCGAAGCAGCCGA
rnacentral:rRNA from 1 species